UAGUGGCAGAAGUGUUUCUGCAACGUGAUGUUUGAAACCAAACCCAACACUGAAAGUCGAACGUGGCUCGGCUGGAGAAGCGGGCGGCGGAUGGACUGCUGCUCGACACGGGGCCCGUCACCAUGGAGGAAACUCUGGAGCCAACAGGAGGACUGCUGGAGCUCGGGGAGGUGGAGAAGGCUGCAGGUGGUGAUGCAGGACUGGACUGGCUGCUGUAGUUCUGGGCCGGGCCGCCCAGGCUGCAGGACUGUAAGUGGAGGUGCUCCUGUCACACGUCAUCCCACUCAGGAGCUCCACCUGUUGGGUAAGAGUCUCUAGCUGACUCCUGAGCUGUCGGUUCUCCUGCUGGAGCUGAGUGACAGCUCGUCCUAGAGGCCCACUCAGGGUGGCUGUCUCCUCCAUGCGACGCUCCAUGCCCAGCUUAAAAACACUGACGUCCACAUGGAUCUCCCUGAUGGCAUCACGGAGGGUAUUCUCAAAACGAGCCAGAGCAUCACACACCGUCUCCCCCUCUGGGGAGGAAGAGCAGGGGUGACACAAGUCUCCCAUCUCAGCCAGAGUUGGGGCUUCCAUCCGUGCAGCUACGGCCACUGGUGACUCUCUCUGAACAGAAGUUAGAUCCUCUUGUCAGUGGGGAAUGUGUAUCCUCAGUCAGUGCUGCUCAGGGUUUGGCUCGAGGGGAAGGGGGGUUGAUGGACAAGGGCUGUGAGGUGAAAGUUUGCAGGGGGGGAGCAAACGUCUGCUCUGUUUUAUCUUCACUCCAGAUUAUUCCUCGGAGGUGGUUUGUCCAGGGCUGCUCCUCCUUUAACAAGUAGAGAUGUCUCUGUUGUCCGUCUGAAACACAAAGGGAUGAGGCUUGACCUUUAGAUGGUGAACAGCUGUAAAAACUCUAACAAGAACCAACCAAUGAAGACCUGUGGACAAAUGCAGAUACAUUAGAGAAAUUUAAGCUCUUACUGGGUUCAUUCAGAAUCUCCCUAAAAAUGUUGAAACACUGCAAACUGCUUCGCCACAUUAAAUUGCAUUAAACCCAAACAGUGAUGACAGCACACCUAUCAAAGCCAACUAAGUAUCCCAGCAGCCAUAUAACACAGCAGUGAAGUCAUCCUCACUCACCCGAUCCUCGCUUUGCCUCUUGAUACAGUUCACUAAAAGUUUCCUCAGCUCUGAACAGCUGUAAGGGAGUGUGUGUGCGAGAGUGUGUGAGCUCUGCCGGCGCUCUGGUUUGUUUAAACUCUCAGGUUGAUCACUCCUCCGUGCUUGACUGGAGGAGGGAGGAGAGAGGGAGGAGAAAGGGGGAGGGUGUCUG